CCUUGGCAGCACGUUCUCUCUGAGAGAGAGGGCACGCCGAAGGGCACACUCCCAUGGCAGCCACAAAACCUGAUUUGCAAAUUAACGCAGAAUACAUGAUGACGAAAACCAACUUUAAGGAGAUCUUAAAACUUCAGCUUCCAGUUCAAACAAAGCAAACCAGCAAACAAGAGUGAGUUCAUAUCUGUUUGUAUAUAUCAGUUCCCUUCGGAAUUGCUCCACUUAUGCAGGCGAGGCUGCCGUAUUUCCAGGUGGAGCUAAGGGAUAGCAUUUGAUCCAGAAAUCCUGCAUAGCAAGAGAAGCAACGAAACAGUCAUCAGACAACUAAAGCUUCAAUUCCAGUUUGGCUGCUAACUCAUGAUCUUGGAAAACACGCUCACAGGUGCACUCAGCUCAGAAACGAUGCGUUACCAGUUAGUUACCUGGGUAUCCUUUAGACCAGACAAGCCGACACUUAAUAUUAACCAUCAGAGGCUGGAACGAGAAUGAGAAAAUAAUCAGAUGUCCUGUGAGAAACCAAAAGUUUGCUGUGGAGAUGCACAAAAAGUGACAUGGAAAAAUAAAACUCGUGUGCACUACUGCAUUCAAAACAAAACUCUCCUACCUCCUGAUUUAGUGCCUUUGAACUGACCUCACAGGACUGAGUUUUGGCUCUCCAUACUCUUCUUUUCUAAACUUUUCUAAACCACUUCCCCAGCAGGUUAAAUGUUUAAAACCAUAAACUAUACAGCAGAACA